rnacentral:rRNA from 1 species
GGGGAAUAUUGCACAAUGGAGGAAACUCUGAUGCAGCGACGCCGCGUGAGUGAAGAAGGUCUUCGGAUCGUAAAACUCUGUCCUUGGUGAAGAUAAUGACGGUAGCCAAGGAGGAAGCCCCGGCUAACUACGUGCCAGCAGCCGCGGUAAUACGUAGGGGGCGAGCGUUGUCCGGAUUUACUGGGCGUAAAGGGUGAGUAGGCGGUUGUAUAUGUCAGGUGUAAAAGGCUAUGGCUUAACCAUGGUUAGCACUUGAAACUGUACAACUUGAGUGCAGGAGAGGUAAGUGGAAUUCCUAGUGUAGCGGUGAAAUGCGUAGAUAUUAGGAGGAACACCAGUGGCGAAGGCGACUUACUGGACUGUAACUGACGCUGAGUCACGAAAGCGUGGGUAGCAAAC